rnacentral:tRNA from 1 species
AAGGUUUUAAGUUAAAUAAACUCUUAACCUUCAAAGUUAAUAUUAAAUUAUAAAUUUAAACCUUA